rnacentral:rRNA from 1 species
UGGGGAAUAUUGCGCAAUGGGGGAAACCCUGACGCAGCGACGCCGCGUGAGUGAUGAAGGCCUUCGGGUCGUAAAGCUCUGUCGUAGGGGAAGAAAUGCCACGGGCUAAUACCCCGUGGAUAUGACGGUACCCUGCAAGAAAGCACCGGCUAACUCCGUGCCAGCAGCCGCGGUAAUACGGAGGGUGCAAGCGUUGUUCGGAAUUACUGGGCGUAAAGCGCGUGUAGGCGGUCGAUUAAGUCUGGUGUGAAAGCCCGGGGCUCACCCCCGGAAGUGCGCUGGAAACUGGUCAACUGGAGUAUGGGAGAGGGAAGCGGAAUUCCUGGUGUAGCGGUGAAAUGCGUAGAUAUCAGGAGGAACACCGGCGGCGAAGGCGGCUUCCUGGACCAAUACUGACGCUGAGACGCGAAAGCGUGGGGAGCAAACAGG